AUAUAUAUAUAUUAUUCUUUUUAAGAAUACGUUGUGCAUCUACUAUGCAACUAAUUUUUCAAUUGGUGCCUGAAAAUUUUAUUCAACCAGCCAUUCCUGUUUUGAUGGCUAGGCUACUAUGACCAUUGGAGCACACUAAUGAAGAACUUCUUAAGGUCUAAGGAGUAUUGGAAGGUUAUUGAACUUGUGUAGCAACACCUGUUACAGGAGUGGGACUAAUAGAAGCACAAAAAACAUGGUUGGAAUGACUAAAGUUGAAAGAUUUGAAGGCAAAGAAUUACUUGUUAUAGGCUAUUGAUCGAUCGAUCUUAGAAACUAUUCUCAGCAUAGAAACUUUCGUGGAUGUAUAGGAUUUAACGAAGAAAAAAUAUCAAGGCUUUUCCAAAGUGAAACUUGCACGGCUUCAAGCCUUGAGAAGGGAUUUUGAGACUCUACAAAUGAAGGAUGGUGAAUCUGUUACCAGUUACUGUGCAAGGACAAUGGGGAUAGCCAAAAAAAAAAAAAAAAAUUUCAUGGUGAGAAAAUGGAAGAUGUUGCCACUGUUGAGAAAAUAUUACUUUCCUUGGCACCAAAGUUCAAUUAUGUUAUUUGCUCAAUUGAAAAAUCCCAUGAGGUAGAUGUACUCUCCCUUGAUGAGCUUCAGAUCUCCUUAUUAGUCCAUGAGCAAAAGAUGAACAGAAGUUCAACGAUGGAUGAACAAACUCUAAAGGCUUCCACAUUUAUUCAAUUCUCGAAUUUAGAGAAGGGGAAAAAGUAGAGGUAGAGGAAGAAGCAGAAGUAGAGGAAGGGUAUGUUGAGGCAAUAGAAAUGCAACAAACAGUCUCAAAAUUUUAAAGUUGAUGAUGAUCAAUUUCAAGAUAAAGGUACAAGAUGUGGUCAGCACUUUGAGAUAUCUAAGGUAGAUUGCUACUAAUGACACAAUUUUGGUCGUUAUCAUUCUGAAUGUUAAACCACGUAGCCUAGCCUAACCAAAGAAAAUGGAGAGAAAUCAAAUUUCAUAGAGAAUAAUGAAGUGGAAACUUUGUUAUAGUGGUUCAAGUCAAUGAAAAACCUCAAUCAGAUGUAUCUUACGUGGACAUAGGCGUAACGCCCCAAAAUUUUAUGAAAUAACAUUUAUUUAUACUAUAUAUUUAUAUUUUUAAAGUUGAUGGAAUAAAGUGAAAUAGUAUAAUUUUAAUUUUAUUUUGGCCAAAUAAUUAGAUUUCGAUAGAGGAAAAAUAAGGGUAUAAAUAUUGGACUCUUUUUGGCCUUAAUUAAUCAGAAGCUUCAGCUUUAGAAAAAUCAUUUUGGAUAAGAACACAUUAAGUUAGACCCAAUUAAAAGAAAA
rnacentral:lncRNA from 1 species